rnacentral:rRNA from 1 species
UAUACGACCGUACCGCAAACCGACACUGGUGCGCGAGAUGAGUAUUCUAAGGCGCUUGAGAGAACUCAGGAGAAGGAACUCGGCAAAUUUACACCGUAACUUCGGAAGAAGGUGUGCCCUAUUAGUGUGUAGUGAACAACGAAGCAUGAAUGGGUUGCAAAAAAUCGGUGGCUGCGACUGUUUAUUAAAAACACAGCACUCUGCAAACACGAAAGUGGACGUAUAGGGUGUGACGCCUGCCCGGUGCUGGAAGAUUAAAUGAUGGGGUGCAAGCUCUUGAUUGAAGUCCCAGUAAACGGCGGCCGUAACAAUAACGGUCCUAAGGUAGCGAAAUUCCUUGUCGGGUAAGUUCCGACCUGCACGAAUGGCGUAACGAUGGCCACACUGUCUCCUCCUGAGACUCAGCGAAGUUGAAAUGUUUGUGAUGAUGCAAUCUCCCCGCGGAAAGACGGAAAGACCCCAUGAACCUUUACUGUAGCUUUGUAUUGGACUUUGAACAGAUCUGUGUAGGAUAGGUGGGAGGCUUUGAAGCAGGGUCGCUAGAUCUUGUGGAGCCAACGUUGAAAUACCACCCUGGUGUGUUUGAGGUUCUAACCUAGGUCCAUUAUCUGGAUCGGGGACAGUGCAUGGUAGGCAGUUUGACUGGGGCGGUCUCCUCCCAAAGCGUAACGGAGGAGUUCGAAGGUACGCUAGUUACGGUCGGACAUCGUGACGAUAGUGCAAUGGCAUAAGCGUGCUUAACUGCGAGACUGACAAGUCGAGCAGAUGCGAAAGCAGGACAUAGUGAUCCGGUGGUUCUGUAUGGAAGGGCCAUCGCUCAACGGAUAAAAGGUACUCUGGCAUAACAGGCUGAUACCGCCCAAGAGUUCAUAUCGACGGCGGUGUUUGGCACCUCGAUGUCGGCUCAUCUCAUCCUGGGGCUGUAGCCGGUCCCAAGGGUAUGGCUGUUCGCCAUUUAAAGAGGUACGUGAGCUGGGUUUAAAACGUCGUGAGACAGUUUGGUCCCUAUCUUCCGUGGGCGCUGCAGAUUCGAGGAAGCCUGCUCCUAGUACGAGAGGACCGGAGUGGACACACCUCUGGUGUAUCGGUUGUCACGCCAGUGGCAUUGCCGAGUAGCUAAGUGUGGAAGAGAUAACCGCUGAAAGCAUCUAAGCGGGAAACUCGUUUCAAGAUGAGAUCUGCCGGGGCCUUGAGCCCCCUAAAGAGUCAA